rfam:Fukomys damarensis contig82017, whole genome shotgun sequence.
GGAUGUGCGAGCAACUCCACUGACCACCAGGGUUGGUCCAGCGACCUCGGUGAAUAGGCAGUGCCCCCUUCCUCCCUUACGGCUCCAUGUGCAUACGAAGCUGGUGCGCUUGGUAGAAAAGGACAACCACUUCAGACAGAGGACCAUUUCCUCAGUCAAGGGUACACAAGUAGCUGCGCUCCCCUGCUAGAACCUCCAAACAAGCUCUCAAAAAGACAACUAUGGUUCCUAUGGGGACCUGCAAACAGGACAAUACAGGGCCAGCAAGGAUACCUCUGUCCCC